rnacentral:lncRNA from 1 species
GAGUUAGAAGCAACAGCCAUGCAGACUGGGGCUGAGUGUCUGGCAGAAGUAGUGGGCCAACACACCUCAGUGCUGUGGUGAGGCAAACGCUGGUUCAGUGGUCUCCAGAAGUAGCCAGGGCACACAGGCCCAGGAGUGGUCAGUCAGUCAGUCCAUCCGAGCCCUUUGAGCAGAGAUGUAGUCAAGCAGCUGGCAAAGAUGAAAUUGGUCAGUCAGGUGCAGGCGCCACAGCCAGACAGAUACAGCUUGUCAGACACAGAUGGGGUCUGGUCGGUCAGGUUCAGUUAGACCGCCUGAAUCAGAUACACCCUGUCAGGCCCAGAUGUCCGUCAGCCAGGUAAACGCAGUCAACUGUGGUUAGGUGGACAGAUCUGGCAGUCUUGGUCUGUCAGGCACCCAUGAAAUCUGUGUGCCGUCACACAAAGGCAGACACACUCGAAUUAUCAGGCAGUGUUGGCGUCUGUAGCCUUCAGACACCGUGGGGUGGUCAGAUGUAGGCGGUCUGGCACGGAAGAAACCAGUCAGCCGCAGGCGUUGCCAUGGCAGCCGUGGACCAGAUCCCUGCCUGCCUGCCUGCUUGCCUGCUUACUGUCUGCUUACGGGUCCCUGAGCCCUCUGCUUUUCCGCACCGGCCCAGCCCCCGAUCCUCCUUCCUGGUCCGGGCAACCAGCGACUUCGGACGGCUCUCUCCUCUCUUCCUUUCUGGAAGAGCCCCAAGUUCCUGUUUGUUCCUCAUAUUUGGAGCCCACUUGUUAGCUGAAAGCCUACUGGAUUGAACUUGGGUUUAUAUCACCUCUACAACCAAAGGGUGCACCAUAUUACCUGACAUGGAGCAGAUACUUAGGAGAUGUCAGCUGAAUAAAACAGAAGUUCAGCUUUUCAUGGUGCUUCUUAUAUGACAUUACCAUCACAGGUACCAAAUAGACUUACUGGCUUCAACAGUUGGAAGUUCCUAUUAUGGCUGAUCAAACCAGAGAUCAGUCAGAUGCAGUACCAAUCAUCCCCAAUCAGGUUAGUGGAAUAGCAUAGGGUUCUUAUUCUCACCUUGGACAUGAGGUUUAUGAGACACUGGCCUCCAGAUGUGGGAAUAUAGUAUGUCUGGGUGCUGUUGGUGUAAUCUGCAUGGACUGGAAACCCAAGGACAGGCAGAAGGGCCUCUUGUAGGUGCCUUCUCAGCUGAACAUCAGGCCAGGGCCUGGUCCUUUUGUGCUAAUUCCCUGUGAGACAGGUAUUUGGUAGCUGAGGUGAGUUUCAGAGAGUCACGUAUUUUUCAAAUCUGGCUUAGGGAAAAAGAAGCAGGUGUUCUCCCAGCUCCAUACUUUAUGCCAGGCCAUGACUGGUUUUCAGGUACUAUAUCUACCACCGCUAGAGAUAAAAGCUGAAGCAGGUCCUUUUCUGUAAUUUAAGGUGGAUUCACCCAGAAAAGUCCAGGAAGUCAAGGCUCAGAAAGAGCUAAGAGACAAGGGCAGCACUCAGCAAAGCAGUUUUGGAGCCCCAGGGCAAAGCUAAAGAAAGUGUAGUCGAGGGCCCAGAAUUUAGCUCAGUGGUCCUACAGCCUGCCUCGCAAGCGUAAAAGUCCUGAGUUCGAUCCCCAGUACCCGCAAAAAGAGCAGUAAUGGAGGGCCAGGCCUACUAAGAUCAUGCCUCAAUUUGCACUAUGUACUGGCGUGGAAAAUGCACAGGACAAGACAUCAGAUGCCCCAGCUCUAAGUUCUGCCCACUGGCUAGAGACUUUGGCCAUCUGAGCUUGUCUAAGCCUCUGUUUCCUCAUCUAUAAAAUAAGGGGUUUGUUCUACUGGCUGGUUGAUGAAGUCUGCCUCUUCAGAUGUGGGAUUUUCAAAGCUGUAAGUUUGAUCAGUGGCAAAGCCAGGGCCAGAAGCUUCUAAGGAACCUCUGCUAAAAGGAACCGUAGUCUUGGAGAAAUUAGUAAUUCCAGGACUGCAGCUUAAAUACAAAAUUAUCCUGGAAUAUCUUGUGCAGGAAGGAAGGGAGUACACAAAGGAGGAUGGGGAUAUGUCAAAAGGACACAGAAGCCAGUUUAAAGUGGCUCCCACUUGCCAAAUCUAUGACAAUUUGAACAUCAAAAUAUAGAAAUAUUUGUAUGAUAAUACAGAUUAGAACACAAUGAAUAAAACAGGAAGCCAUAAUAAUGAAUGAAUAAAUAAAAAGUUUGAUGAGGUAUUUACAAAGUUUCAAACUAUCUCAUCACAAAAUACUAAAGGACAAAAUUAACAGAAUGAAAAGAUAACAUAAGAUAGAA